CCUACGGGAGGCUGCAGUGGGGAAUAUUGGACAAUGGGGGCAACCCUGAUCCAGCCAUGCCGCGUGUGUGAAGAAGGCCCUCGGGUUGUAAAGCACUUUCAGUGAGGAAGAACGCCUGGUGGUUAAUACCCAUCAGGAAAGACAUCACUCACAGAAGAAGCACCGGCUAACUCCGUGCCAGCAGCCGCGGUAAUACGGAGGGUGCGAGCGUUAAUCGGAAUUACUGGGCGUAAAGGGCGCGUAGGUGGCUUGAUAAGCCGGUUGUGAAAGCCCCGGGCUCAACCUGGGAACGGCAUCCGGAACUGUCAAGCUAGAGUGCAGGAGAGGAAGGUAGAAUUCCCGGUGUAGCGGUGAAAUGCGUAGAGAUCGGGAGGAAUACCAGUGGCGAAGGCGGCCUUCUGGACUGACACUGACACUGAGGUGCGAAAGCGUGGGUAGCAAACAGGAUUAGAUACCCUGGUAGUC
rnacentral:rRNA from 1 species